GAUGAACGCUAGCGGCAGGCUUAACACAUGCAAGUCGAGGGGCAGCAUGAUGAAACUUUCGGGUUUCAUUGAUGGCGACCGGCGCAAGGGUGCGUAACGCGUGAGCAACUUGCCCUUAUCAGGGGAAUAACCGGUGGAAACGCCGACUAAUACCCCAUAGCAUCACUUUAAGGCAUCUUUUAGUGAUUAAAGAAUUUCGGAUAAGGAUAGGCUCGCGUGACAUUAGCUAGAUGGCGGGGUAACGGCCCACCAUGGCGACGAUGUCUAGGGGUUCUGAGAGGAAGGUCCCCCACACUGGAACUGAGACACGGUCCAGACUCCUACGGGGGGCAGCAGUGAGGAAUAUUGGUCAAUGGGCGAGAGCCUGAACCAGCCAAGUCGCGUGAGGGAAGACGGCCCUACGGGUUGUAAACCUCUUUUGUCAGGGAGCAAAAAGGCGGUACGCGUACCGCAAAGGAGAGUACCUGAAGAAAAGCAUCGGCUAACUCCGUG
rnacentral:rRNA from 1 species